rnacentral:rRNA from 1 species
GGGUUGUGAGGUUAAGCGACUAAGCGUACACGGUGGAUGCCCUGGCAGUCAGAGGCGAUGAAGGACGUGCUAAUCUGCGAAAAGCGCCGGCGAGGUGAUAUGAACCUUUGACCCGGCGAUGUCCGAAUGGGGAAACCCAGUGUGAUUCGUCACACUAUCGUUAACUGAAUACAUAGGUUAACGAGGCGAACCGGGGGAACUGAAACAUCUAAGUACCCCGAGGAAAAGAAAUCAACCGAGAUUCCCCCAGUAGCGGCGAGCGAACGGGGAGCAGCCCAGAGUCUGAAUCAGCUUGUGUGUUAGUGGAAGCGUCUGGAAAGUCGCACGGUACAGGGUGACAGUCCCGUACACGAAAGCACACAGGUUGUGAACUCGAAGAGUAGGGCGGGACACGUGGUAUCCUGUCUGAAUAUGGGGGGACCAUCCUCCAAGGCUAAAUACUCCUGACUGACCGAUAGUGAACCAGUACCGUGAGGGAAAGGCGAAAAGAACCCCGGCGAGGGGAGUGAAAAAGAACCUGAAACCGUGUACGUACAAGCAGUGGGAGCACCUUCGUGGUGUGACUGCGUACCUUUUGUAUAAUGGGUCAGCGACUUAUAUUCUGUAGCAAGGUUAACCGUAUAGGGGAGCCGAAGGGAAACCGAGUCUUAACUGGGCGUUAAGUUGCAGGGUAUAGACCCGAAACCCGGUGAUCUAGCCAUGGGCAGGUUGAAGGUUGGGUAACACUAACUGGAGGACCGAACCGACUAAUGUUGAAAAAUUAGCGGAUGACUUGUGGCUGGGGGUGAAAGGCCAAUCAAACCGGGAGAUAGCUGGUUCUCCCCGAAAGCUAUUUAGGUAGCGCCUCGUGAACUCAUCUUCGGGGGUAGAGCACUGUUUCGGCUAGGGGGCCAUCCCGGCUUACCAACCCGAUGCAAACUACGAAUACCGAAGAAUGUUAUCACGGGAGACACACGGCGGGUGCUAACGUCCGUCGUGAAGAGGGAAACAACCCAGACCGCCAGCUAAGGUCCCAAAGUCAUGGUUAAGUGGGAAACGAUGUGGGAAGGCACAGACAGCCAGGAUGUUGGCUUAGAAGCAGCCAUCAUUUAAAGAAAGCGUAAUAGCUCACUGGUCGAGUCGGCCUGCGCGGAAGAUGUAACGGGGCUAAACCAUGCACCGAAGCUGCGGCAGCGACACUUAUGUGUUGUUGGGUAGGGGAGCGUUCUGUAAGCCGUUGAAGGUGUGCUGUGAGGCAUGCUGGAGGUAUCAGAAGUGCGAAUGCUGACAUAAGUAACGAUAAAGCGGGUGAAAAGCCCGCUCGCCGGAAGACCAAGGGUUCCUGUCCAACGUUAAUCGGGGCAGGGUGAGUCGACCCCUAAGGCGAGGCCGAAAGGCGUAGUCGAUGGGAAACAGGUUAAUAUUCCUGUACUUGGUGUUACUGCGAAGGGGGGACGGAGAAGGCUAUGUUAGCCGGGCGACGGUUGUCCCGGUUUAAGCAUGUAGGCGGAGGUUCCAGGUAAAUCCGGUACCUUUUAACGCUGAGGUGUGAUGACGAGGCACUACGGUGCUGAAGUAACAAAUGCCCUGCUUCCAGGAAAAGCCUCUAAGCAUCAGGUAACAUCAAAUCGUACCCCAAACCGACACAGGUGGUCAGGUAGAGAAUACCAAGGCGCUUGAGAGAACUCGGGUGAAGGAACUAGGCAAAAUGGUGCCGUAACUUCGGGAGAAGGCACGCUGAUAUGUAGGUGAAGCCCCUGCGGGUGGAGCUGAAAUCAGUCGAAGAUACCAGCUGGCUGCAACUGUUUAUUAAAAACACAGCACUGUGCAAACACGAAAGUGGACGUAUACGGUGUGACGCCUGCCCGGUGCCGGAAGGUUAAUUGAUGGGGUUAGCGGCAACGCGAAGCUCUUGAUCGAAGCCCCGGUAAACGGCGGCCGUAACUAUAACGGUCCUAAGGUAGCGAAAUUCCUUGUCGGGUAAGUUCCGACCUGCACGAAUGGCGUAAUGAUGGCCAGGCUGUCUCCACCCGAGACUCAGUGAAAUUGAACUCGCUGUGAAGAUGCAGUGUACCCGCGGCAAGACGGAAAGACCCCGUGAACCUUUACUAUAGCUUGACACUGAACACUGGUCCUUGAUGUGUAGGAUAGGUGGGAGGCUUUGAAGUGUGGACGCCAGUCUGCAUGGAGCCGUCCUUGAAAUACCACCCUUUAAUGGCUGGUGUUCUAACGUAGACCCGUGAUCCGGGUUGCGGACAGUGUCUGGUGGGUAGUUUGACUGGGGCGGUCUCCUCCCAAAGAGUAACGGAGGAGCACGAAGGUUAGCUAAUCCUGGUCGGACAUCAGGAGGUUAGUGCAAUGGCAUAAGCUAGCUUGACUGCGAGAGUGACGGCUCGAGCAGGUGCGAAAGCAGGUCAUAGUGAUCCGGUGGUUCUGAAUGGAAGGGCCAUCGCUCAACGGAUAAAAGGUACUCCGGGGAUAACAGGCUGAUACCGCCCAAGAGUUCAUAUCGACGGCGGUGUUUGGCACCUCGAUGUCGGCUCAUCACAUCCUGGGGCUGAAGUAGGUCCCAAGGGUAUGGCUGUUCGCCAUUUAAAGUGGUACGCGAGCUGGGUUUAGAACGUCGUGAGACAGUUCGGUCCCUAUCUGCCGUGGGCGCUGGAGAAUUGAGGGGGGCUGCUCCUAGUACGAGAGGACCGGAGUGGACGCAUCACUGGUGUUCGGGUUGUCAUGCCAAUGGCACUGCCCGGUAGCUAAAUGCGGAAAAGAUAAGUGCUGAAAGCAUCUAAGCACGAAACUUGCCCCGAGAUGAGUUCUCCCUGAGACUUUAAGUCUCCUGAAGGAACGUUGAAGACGACGACGUUGAUAGGUCGGGUGUGUAAGCGCAGCGAUGCGUUGAGCUAACCGAUACUAAUGAACCGUGAGGCUUAACCUUACAACGCCGAAGGUGUUU